AGCGGAGGAAAAGAAACUAACAAGGAUUCCCCUAGUAACGGCGAGUGAACCGGGAAGAGCUCAAAUUUGAAAUCUGGCGUGCUCAGUGCGUCCGAGUUGUAAUCUAUAGAGGCGUUUUCCGUGCCGGACUGUGUCUAAGUCCCUUGGAACAGGGUAUCAAAGAGGGUGAUAAUCCCGUACUUGACACAAUGACCGGUGCUCUGUGAUACGUCUUCUACGAGUCGAGUUGUUUGGGAAUGCAGCUCAAAAUGGGUGGUGAGUUCCAUCUAAAGCUAAAUAUUGGCGAGAGACCGAUAGCGAACAAGUACCGUGAGGGAAAGAUGAAAAGCACUUUGGAAAGAGAGUUAAACAGUACGUGAAAUUGUUGAAAGGGAAACGAUUGAAGUCAGUCGUGACUGAGAGGCUCAGCCGGUUCUGCCGGUGUAUUCCCCUCAGUCGGGUCAACAUCAGUUUUGUUCGGUGGAUAAGGGCAGCUGGAAGGUGGCACCUCCGGGUGUGUUAUAGCCAGCUGUCGCAUACAUCGAAUGAGACUGAGGAAUGCAGCUCGCCUUUAUGGCCGGGGUUCGCCCACGUCCGAGCUUAGGAUGUUGACAUAAUGGCUUUAAUCGACCCGUCUUGAAA
rnacentral:rRNA from 1 species